GAGCUGCUCCUGCUCCGGAGCGGGAAGGAGGAGGCGGCUGGGGCAGCCGCUGCCGCGCUGCAGCUGGCUCAGCACCAUGGCCCAGUGCAGCACGGAGCAGCGGGGGCGGCCCCACUCGCCCGAGUACCGCCUCUACUUUAAGAAUGCGGAGGGUAAAUAUAUUUCCCCGUUUCAUGACAUUCCUCUGUUUGCUGGAUCUAAAGAGGAUAAGGAGGUUCCUGCGAAGAGAUCAAAGACUAAUGGAAGUGAGACUGGUCUUCCAAAGAAGCCACCACCCAGCAGAGCUGGUGAAACUGUAGUGUUUAACAUGGUUGUAGAAGUGCCUCGCUGGUCAAAUGCUAAAAUGGAGAUUGCCACCAAGGAACCAUUGAAUCCCAUUAAACAAGAUAUAAAGAGAGGCAAGCUUCGAUAUGUGGCCAAUAUCUUUCCUCACAAGGGUUAUAUAUGGAAUUAUGGUGCCCUCCCUCAGACUUGGGAAGAUCCACACCAUAAAGAUAAGGAUACAGGAUGCUGUGGUGAUAAUGAUCCCAUUGAUGUGUGUGAAAUAGGCACAAAGGUUCACUAUCCUGGUGAGAUCAUUCAGGUAAAGGUUCUUGGAGUUAUGGCUCUUAUUGAUGAAGGAGAGACAGAUUGGAAGAUUAUUGCCAUCAAUGUGGAUGACCCAGAAGCCCAGAAAAUUCAUGAUAUUGAUGAUGUCAAGAAACACAAACCGGGUUAUCUUGAGGCUACAGCUGAGUGGUUCCGAUUAUAUAAGGUCCCAGAUGACAAACCGGAAAAUCAGUUUGCUUUUAAUGGAGAGUUUAAAGACAAGGAUUUUGCUGUUGGAAUUAUUAAAUCCACCCAUGAAUACUGGAAAGCUUUGCUUCAUAAAAAGGCUGAUAGAGGUGCUAUAGAAUGUAUGAAUAUUUUGGUGCAUGACAGCCCCUUUCGUUGCAGUGAAGAGGAUGCCAGGUUAAUUGUGCAAUCACUGAGUUUCAGGACAGUUGGCCUAACUGUGCUCUGACAUUAGUGAAAGUCAGGAGUGUUCCACUGCGGUUGAUGGCGUUACCCCCGAGUAAAAUUGGUACAAUCAGAGAGAUCAGAAGAGGUAGUCUGUGUCUGACAGCAGUAGGCACCACCUCCUGCGAGUGGAGAUUCUGUUUCUGCAGAAGUUGAUGUGUGGCACUUUCUUAACAAGUGAUCAUCGGAAUAUUCUGAAGUCACAUCAUCAAAUCUUAAAUCAGCCCUUUUUUCCUGAGUUUUGAAGACAGGCUUGGUUCCUAAUUGCUGGGUUCCUGUUGGAACAACUUUUCAAGUAACAUAAACCCUCUAUCAUGUAAAUAAACUGAUAUUUUUAAA